AGAAGGCUCCGGCUGCUGCCGGGUGGAGAAGCCACACAAGUCCCUGGGCUGGAAAUUGCUGAAUCUACCCUGGCUCACGGUUCCACUCAAUGAAAGCAGCAAUGCCGUCUUCAAGGAGGGGAUACAGCUCCCCGACUGGAAUUUAACGGAAGAGCUCAGUGCCACUGGAGUUGUUGGCCCAGUCACUGCAGAUGCCUGAUGAGAUAAAGAUGGCUCCACACUCGGGCAACAGGAAGGAGGGCAAGGGAAGUCUUCCAUUCUAUCCCCAUGAGAUGAAACCCUGGAAGCUCAGCUCCCACCCCAGAUCUGCCAUUCCCAUGGGGCCUCCAUCCACAGAAGCCAGAGAUGCCCAGAUCUGCCACUCCCACGGGGCCUCCAUCCACAGAAGCCAGAGAUGCCCAGAUCUGCCACUCCCACGGGGCCUCCAUCCACAGAAGCCAGAGAUGCCCAGAUGUGCCACUCCCACGGGGCCUCCAUCCACAGAAGCCAGAGAUGCCCAGAUCUGCCACUCCCACGGGGCCUCCAUCCACAGAAGCCAGAGAUGCCCAGAUCUGCCACUCCCACGGGGCCUCCAUCCACAGAAGCCAGAGAUGCCCAGAUCUGCCACUCCCACGGGGCCUCCAUCCACAGAAGCCAGAGAUGCCCAGAUCUGCCACUCCCACGGGGCCUCCAUCCACAGAAGCCAGAGAUGCCCAGAUCUGCCAUUCCCACGGGGCCUCCAUCCACAGAAGCCAGAGAUGCCCAGAUCUGCCACUCACACGGGGCCUCCAUCCACAGAAGCCAGAGAUGCCCAGAUCUGCCACUGCCAUGGGGCCUCUGUUGGGAGCAAGCCCCCCAAAAUCUGGCCAUAAACUGGCCCCAAAACUGGCCAUAAACAAAAUCUCUGCAGCACUGUGACAUGUUCAUAAUGGCCCUAACGCACAAGCUGGAAGGUUGUGGGUUUACGGAAAUGAGGGCAAGGAACACCUGGCCUGCCCAGGGCGGAAAACCGCUUAAAGGCAUUCUUAAGCCACAAACAAUAGCAUGAGCGAUCUGUGCUUUAAGGACAUGCUCCUGCUGCAGUUAACUAGCCCAACCUAUUCCUUUAAUUCGGCCCAUCCCUUUGUUUCCCUUAAGGGAUGCUUUUAGUUAAUUUAAUAACUAUAGAAACAAUGCUAAUUAUUGGUUUGCUGUUAAUAAAUAUGUGGGUAAAUCUCUGUUGGGGCUCUCAGCUCUGAAGGCUGUGAGACCCCUGAUUUCCCACUUCACACCUCUA
rnacentral:lncRNA from 1 species